rnacentral:rRNA from 1 species
GUCUACAACCAUGCCACCCUGAACACGCCCGAUCCCAUCUGAUCUUGGAAGCUAAGCAGGAUUGGGCCUGGUUAGUACUUGGAUGGGAGACCACCUAGGAAGACCAAGUGCUGUAGGCA